ensembl:snRNA U2 U2 spliceosomal RNA
CUUACCAGUUUAAUAUCUGAUACGCCCUCUAUCCAAGGACAAUAUAUUAAAUGGAUUUUUGGAGCAGGGAGUUGGGAUACGAGAUUGCUCCAUCCACUCCUAGCUCUGACCUGAUACUGCAGUACCUCCAAGAACGGUGC